AAGGUACUAGUAAACAACAUUACACUGCUUUGUCAAGGCAGAGUUGCGAGUUAAAGCCCCGCGUAUCUUA
rnacentral:tRNA from 1 species